rnacentral:rRNA from 1 species
UACAGAGGUCUCAAGCGUUGUUCGGAUUCAUUGGGCGUAAAGGGUGUGUAGGUGGCGCGCUAAGUCGGGUGUGAAAUUUCGGAGCUUAACUCCGAAACUGCAUUCGAUACUGGCGUGCUUGAGGACUGGAGAGGAGACUGGAAUUCAUGGUGUAGCAGUGAAAUGCGUAGAGAUCAUGAGGAAGACCAGUGGCGAAGGCGGGUCUCUGGGACGGUACUGACGCUGAGACGCGAAAGCGUGGGGAGCAAACAGG